GGGCGUGUGGCUCAGUGGUAGAGCGUCCGCUUUGCAAAUUUUCGCGCUAGUCCUAUUGCAGAGAAUUAAACAAUUGCGGAAGGUCCGGGUUUCGGUAAGUCUAUAUUCGCUCCAAAGGUCGAGCCCACUCGCUAACA